AUGGAAAUGAGGAAGGGGAAGGAUGGAAGAUGGAGUAAAAUUAGAAACUAAGAAUAUGGAAUAGGGGAGUAGAAAUAAGGAAUGAGGAUGGAAGGAUUGUAGAUUAUGGAUAUGAAACAAGAGACAUGAAAUAGAUGGGAGAUUAGAGAGAUAAGAUGGAAAUAGACUAAAUUAAUCAUGGAUGGCAAAGAGGUGUGGUAUUAACAAAAUGAAGAUGUGGCUUUAAUAAUU
rnacentral:lncRNA from 1 species